UGGCGAACGGGUGAGUAACACGUGAGUAACCUGCCCUUGACUUUGGGAUAACUUCAGGAAACUGGGGCUAAUACCGGAUAGGAGCUCCUGCUGCAUGGUGGGGGUUGGAAGGUUUCGGCGGUUGGGGAUGGACUCGCGGCUUAUCAGCUUGUUGGUGGGGUAGUGGCUUACCAAGGCUUUGACGGGUAGCCGGCCUGAGAGGGUGACCGGCCACAUUGGGACUGAGAUACGGCCCAGACUCCUACGGGAGGCAGCAGUGGGGAAUAUUGCACAAUGGGCGGAAGCCUGAUGCAGCAACGCCGCGUGCGGGAUGACGGCCUUCGGGUUGUAAACCGCUUUCGCCUGUGACGAAGCGUGAGUGACGGUAAUGGGUAAAGAAGCACCGGCUAACUACGUGCCAGCAGCCGCGGUGAUACGUAGGGUGCGAGCGUUGUCCGGAUUUAUUGGGCGUAAAGGGCUCGUAGGUGGUUGAUCGCGUCGGAAGUGUAAUCUUGGGGCUUAACCCUGAGCGUGCUUUCGAUACGGGUUGACUUGAGGAAGGUAGGGGAGAAUGGAAUUCCUGGUGGAGCGGUGGAAUGCGCAGAUAUCAGGAGGAACACCAGUGGCGAAGGCGGUUCUCUGGGCCUUUCCUGACGCUGAGGAGCGAAAGCGUGGGGAGCGAACAGGCUUAGAUACCCUGGUAGUCCACGCUGUAAACGGUGGGUACU
rnacentral:rRNA from 1 species